rnacentral:rRNA from 1 species
AACGAACGCUGGCGGCAGGCUUAACACAUGCAAGUCGAACGCCCCGCAAGGGGAGUGGCAGACGGGUGAGUAACGCGUGGGAAUCUACCCAGAACUUCGGAACAACUGAGGGAAACUUCAGCUAAUACCGGAUACGCCCUACGGGGAAAGAUUUAUCGGUUCUGGAUGAGCCUGCGUUGGAUUAGCUAGUUGGUGAGGUAAAGGCUCACCAAGGCGACGAUCCAUAGCUGGUCUGAGAGGAUGAUCAGCCACACUGGGACUGAGACACGGCCCAGACUCCUACGGGAGGCAGCAGUGGGGAAUAUUGGACAAUGGGCGAAAGCCUGAUCCAGCCAUGCCGCGUGAGUGAUGAAGGCCUUAGGGUUGUAAAGCUCUUUCAGUAGGGAAGAUAAUGACGGUACCUACAGAAGAAGCCCCGGCUAACUUCGUG